GACGAACGCUGGCGGCGUGCUUAACACAUGCAAGUCGAACGAAGUGGCGAACGGGUGAGUAAUACGUGGGUAACCUGCCCUCCUUUUUGGGAUAAGACUUGGAAAAGGGGUCUAAUACCGAAUAGAGGGGGAUGGGCUCACGGCCUCUCAGCUUGUUGGUGGGGGGAUGGCCUAACAAGGCGGUAUCGGGUAGCCGGAUUGAGAGGGUGACCGGCCACAUUGGGACUGAGAUACGGCCCAGACUCCUACGGGAGGCAGCAGUGGGGGAUAUGGCACAAUGGACGAAAGUCUGACGGAGCAACUCCGCGUGAGUGAUGACGGCCUUCGGGUUGUAAAGCUCUGUUAAUCGGGACGCGGUACCGGAAUAGAAAGCCACGGCUAACUACGUGCCAGCAGCCGCGGUAAUUC
rnacentral:rRNA from 1 species